GACAUGAGAGGAAACUGUGGAAAGCAACGAAAAACAAAAUGAGCUGAGAAAAGGCGAAGAAGAAGACAAAUCUCUCAGAGGCAGAGGUGUUUAGUAUAUAAUGAACAAGAACCUUAUGGAGAUGGAACGUCAUGUCAUCAACUUCGAUUUCAAUGUCGCUAGAUUUCUCAGACGCCAUUAAUGGGAGGAGACAGCGGUGAGGAAAAGAAAGCUCUGAUCACUUACUGAGACAGAAGAAACCAAAGAGCCAAUCUCUUUCUAAAGAAGGAAUAUGGAGAGAACAAGAGGGGGUAAAGGAGAGGGUUGGAAUCCUAAAUCAUGAGAAAGAGACACUUUAAAAAAUAAAAAUAAAAACAUUAUUCGGAUUUCGAAAAAGGGGAUCUCGUUUUUGAUCCAUCUUUUUAUUUUUAUUUUCUUUUCUCUUUUUUUUUUUUUAUAAAAUUAUAAUCUUUAGUUGGAGAACAGCAAGAAUCUCAACUACUACUACUCUAGAGACGACACAUUUUCAGAUAAAAUUACGCGUUGGGAGUAGCAAAAUCCCCACUCAUUUGUUAA